CUAAAAUCUUAUAUAAGAGAGGCUGGUCAGAGGGUUUGGUCUUCCUAUUAAAGUGAGAUAGCAGUGCUUUAAAAGUGUAAUGUAGUCUUUUUCUUGCUCAAUUUCUGCAGUGCUGAGCAUGCAGAAAAGAGAAUGCGUUCUUCUGAGGAGCCUGGGAAGUGCUUUUAAGUGUCUUUCUAACGUAUCUGGAAAAGCCUGAAAACAUUUUAUUUACCAAGGACUAAAACUGCUUCUGAGCCUACAAGUGGUAUAUGCUUAUUCUGAACACGAGGCAUGAGCUCUUGGUCAGACUUCUAGAUCUGAGGUGCACUCCAGCAGUUACAAGUCCAGCAUCCCAAACUGCCCUGAAGUAGGUGCUUUGCCUCUUCUCACUCAGCAUCAGUUGCUUGCGUCUUGUGGAAGAUGCUGCCUGGGGCCCAGCAGAGCUGGAGGUAGUGGAAGCUUAACGCAGAGGGCCAUGGGGUUUGUGCCCUCUUUCACCAGUGGCUUAUUUUACAUACAGUACAUCAUUGUACCACUGACCUUCUCUGUUCUGCCUUGCUCUGAUGACAUCACAAGAAUGGCAAGAUUAUCAGUAAAGAUGGAAAUAGGUGCUUAUCAUUGUACAAAUAAGGAGAGGACUGGCAGCUACUGGAACGUGAUGAGCAACUGAGUCUGCUUUAGUACACGUGAAGAGACUGCAUCCCAACCAGUGAAAACUGGCGAUCAGAAUUCAGCAACAAAAGGCUGCUUGCCCAAGAGCUGCUCCUUGUAUGGAAGUAUCUAUAUGAAAAUGUCUAAUUACAAUCUAUUAAAACAUGGAGUUAAAACUACUACGUAGCCAAUAUUUAGCAACUUUGGUAGAUAAACAGUAUGUUUGGAACAACUAGCUCCUGUUUUAAAUGUAGAGCUCAUUAAUAUUUUCGAGGUUAUACUUCAGUAAUGACUUCCACAUAACAACCUCUCCACUUACUUUAAUUAUUUUAUUCAGUUUUACGUUUAUAGUAAGCUCUGACAUGCUCUAAUUGUAUUUCACAAUGGUUUUAAACUUCUAAUAAGCACAUAGAGCUUUUAUGCUAUCGUUUGAAGUACACUGGUAUUCCUGAGACCUAUAGUGAGUCACAAGUAAUACUAUUAGGCCUGUAGCAAAGCUUAUUUAGUCGAUAUAUACAUAUUUAAAGUUAAAUGUGUUCUUAGUACUAUACCGCCUUGGGAUUUUGGGUGAAUAACUAUGCUGAUUUACUAGGACAGAGCUACAGAUUGACUAAAAUAGUUGAAUGGAUGUCAGCUAGGUUAUAGGUAUGAAAGAUCACGUAGAAAUGAAUGCUUGUGUAAUCACAUUGGCUAUUAUAGAACUGAAAAUGAUAUUUUGGGUUGUUUCUCAUAUAACUAAAUUGGACACUUUUCUGUUUGCAAAGUUGUUUUCUGUCCAUUAUCAGAAGUUUCUGGUAACUAUGCAAUAGACUGGGUAGAGAUUAGAAUACACUGGGUUAUUCCAGGACCAGUCAGUUGUAGCAGUCAAGUUGUGAUGACUGUAGGUGAAAAAGUAGGUUUUGCUUUUCUUAAUAAUGACAUCGUAAUGUUGUUGGGUUUUUUUUCUGGUGGUUUUACACCUGCUGAGAAUGAUGGAUUUUUGCCAUUCAUGGACAGACUCAGGCUGAUGGAUGGAGCACAGGCACAAUCAUGCGCACAGUAAAAAACUUUGCCUUGGGAAGUCACAGAGUAAUAAUAAGAUCAGCCACUGAUCAUGACUGUGUAGAAAGAUUUCGGAAAUGUCCAAUUUGCACUCCUAAAGUACUGGUGGCAUCUGCGAGCAGCCAUCCUCGAGGGGACACUUCAUGUCUGUAAUUGCAUUUUGUCACCUACAGAGGGUGUUAAGAAUCUUGUUAAAAAUAAAGGAAAUAG